rnacentral:tRNA from 1 species
GCCUUCUUAGCUCAUCUCGUAGAGCACGUGGUUGUUAACCAUGUGGUCGUUGGUUCUAUUCCACAGAUGGUG